rnacentral:rRNA from 1 species
CCUACGGGAGGCAGCAGUGGGGAAUAUUGGACAAUGGGGGCAACCCUGAUCCAGCCAUGCCGCGUGUGUGAAGAAGGCCCUCGGGUUGUAAAGCACUUUCAGUGAGGAAGAACGCCUGGUGGUUAAUACCCAUCAGGAAAGACAUCACUCACAGAAGAAGCACCGGCUAACUCCGUGCCAGCAGCCGCGGUAAUACGGAGGGUGCGAGCGUUAAUCGGAAUUACUGGGCGUAAAGCGCGCGUAGGUGGCUUGAUAAGCCGGUUGUGAAAGCCCCGGGCUCAACCUGGGAACGGCAUCCGGAACUGUCAAGCUAGAGUGCAGGAGAGGAAGGUAGAAUUCCCGGUGUAGCGGUGAAAUGCGUAGAGAUCGGGAGGAAUACCAGUGGCGAAGGCGGCCUUCUGGACUGACACUGACACUGAGGUGCGAAAGCGUGGGUGGCAAACAGGAUUAGAUACCCUUGUAGUC